rnacentral:tRNA from 1 species
AAGACGCUAGUAAAACUCCAUUACCCUGCCUUGUCAAGGCAGAAUUGUGGGUUAAAACCCCGCGUGUCUUG